rnacentral:lncRNA from 1 species
CAUGCCGAAACGUCACACCUGCUCAGUAGAUAACAGUUACCAAAAAUUCUUUCCUCUAUCUGUUAUCAUUUUCGAUUCACUCCUCAUUUGAAACAUCUUCAAUCCGGGUUCCUUGGCCACUCCUCUUCCAAGGCAGCUUCAUUGCAGAUCGGCGUAUCCCUUACCAGGUACAUCUCUUCCCUUUUUACUAAUGCUUCCUUCGCUAGUUUAUGGGCUUGAAUAUUUUAUGAUCUUUGAAUAAAUCGAAAAAUGAUUUCUUGAAACCGAGAACUACAACUCUGGAUAUCUCUGAUAAUCGCUCCGACAAUCGAUCUAUCCAUAUCUGUCGCUUUACAAUUUUUGAUGAUUGUUUUCGACUCCCCCAUAAGCGUGACUCAUUUUAGACCCAUUAAGAUGCCUAACUUGGCUGUCUGUAAACAUAUAAGUGCCUCUGCUAGAAACAGAGAUGAGACAUUGGCAUGAAGGGUCGUUUUUGAGGCUUUUAUCUCUCCCAUCUGAUCUCGAACGACAAUCCCCGACGCUGAUCUGGAAUUGUUUGCAUCAAAAGCUGCAUCGAAUUGUAUUAUGUCCCUUGUUGUCUCCUCCUUUUGCUUUUGUGUUCUGGUAGUCCCCAACACUCCUUCUAGUUCUGUUAAAUAGCUCUGUAUUUUUUGUACUAGAUCCCUUCCUGAUGCAAGUUUCUUUCAUGCACCAUUUGGUUCCGCGAGCUCCAUAUAACCCACAGAGUACAGCAAAACAUCCGACAAUGUUCCUUAGUACCUUUUCUGAAAACCCAAGCAAGCCAUGUCUUGAUAUUUUGAUCUAGAUGUGAUGUAACCCAAACCAUAUUAAGAUUCUUCCAUACUUCAAUGCUUGUAGGGCAUUGCCGAAAGACAUGGAAGCUGUCCUCUUCCCCAGACCAACAUCGAGGGCAUCUCACAUUUGUGGUUAUUCGCUUGCAUCUGAGAUUGACUAGUGUAUGAAUAUAGUUCCAGAAUAUCCGCCAGAAUAGAAGUAGAAUUUUUUAUGGAAUUUGUAAAUUCCAAAGUUUUCUGUUUAAUUCUUUAGUAUCAGUCUGUAAUAAAUAACUAUUAGGAUCCAGAAAGUUCACUUUUCCAAACGAGCAAGUCUUCGCAGUUUGUUACUGCAAGUGGGAUUUGCAAAAUUCUUUGAGUAAUGUCCGUUUGAAAGGUAUUAGUAAUAACCUCCGUUUUCCAUAUCUUACUUGUACCAUCGAUUAAAUCUGAUGCUAAUUUCAGCUCUCCAUUGUCAUCUCUGUUCUGCUAGAUAACAAGUUCUACCCCUGGAAUCCACUGACCUGUCCAAAUGGAGAUGCCAUUUCCUCUCCCAACUCUCCAACUUAGCCCUUGAAGAAUUAGUCCCUUUGUAAUCCAAAUACUCUUCCAUGUAAGAGAAGGUAAACUCCUCAACUAUGCACUUAGAAAAUUAGACCGUGGAUAAUACUUUGCUUUAAGAACCCUGGCUAAAAGUGAAUUUGGAUAAUUAAAGAGACGCCAACCUUGCUUGGCUAAUGAUGCGAUAUUAAACUGGCUAAGAUUACGAAAACCCAAACCUCCAUUUUCUUUUAAACUGCAAAUAUUUUUCCAAGAGCACCAAUGAAUUCCCUCUUUCCAUGUCCCCUUCUCCACCAAAAUUUCACAACAAUUGCUUCCAUUUCAUCGCAUAAAGAUUUUGGGAGUAAAAAGCAAGUCAUUGAAUAUGUCAGAAUUGCUUGUAAAAUAGUUUUAAUAAAAAUUUCUUUUUCACCCUGCGAUAAAAAUCUAGUACUCCAAUUGUCAAUGCGUUGCUUUAGCCUAUCCUUUAAAGCCUGAAAAGAUUUCUUCUUUUUUAAUCCCACCAUGUUCGGCAAACCUAGGUAUUGUUUUGGCUCAACUGAACUUCGAAUUCCCAACAAAUUGACAACCAGUCUUCUUUCUUCCUCUAUCGUGUUUUUACUGAAAAACAGUUGAUUUAUCAAAAUUCACACAUUGUCCCGAACAUCUUUUAUACUCAUUUAAGAUCUCCUUGAGUACAACAGCCCCUCUGCUUGUUGCUUCCCCAAAUAGAAUGCAGUCGUUUGCAAAUAAUAAAUGUGACACCUGUGGACCUCUUCUACUUACCUUGACACCCUUCAGAAAUCCUUCUUUUGUAGCUAUUCUCAUAAGACUAGAAAGGCCCUCUCCACAUAUUAGGAAAAGAAACGGACUCAAAGGAUCACCCUAUCGAAGUCCCCUGGUUGGACGGAAUGUUACUCCAACAUUUUCAUUUACCACAACCUUAUAUGAAAUAGUAGACAUGCAUUUCAUAAUAGUAUCAAUCCAUAUUUGAGCAAAUCUCAUUCGUAUCAUUAUCUCCCUAACAAAGUUUCAUUCAACCCUGUCAUAAGCCUUACUUAUGUCCAAUUUUACCGUCAUAAAGCCUUUUCCCCCCACUCUUUUCUGUUUUAGAGUAUACAAUAUUUCGUAAGCUAGCAAUACAUUAUCCGAGAUUAAUUUUCCUGGCACAAAAGCACUUUGAGCACUAUCAAUGCAUUUAUCAAUCACUCUUCGAAAUCUGUUCGCUGUAACUUUCGCCAUCAUUUUAUAAAUAACAUUGCAUAAACUAAUAAGCCUAAACUGUGACAUAUUAGAUGGGUUGUUAAUUUUUGGAAUAAGCACAAUAUGAGUUGUGUUAAUUGAACUGACCUCCAUAUCUCCAUUCAAGAAUUGUUGACACAAGGAAACUACUUCCUCUCCAAUAAAAUGCCAACAGCCAACACUUCUGAUAAAAGAUAGCUGGAAAUCCAUCCUCGCCCGGCACCUUUGGGGGUACCAUUUUGAACAAAGCCUCGUGAAUCUCUUCUCCUAUAUAUCGCGCCAUAAGCUCUUUAUUUUCCUCAUCAUAGACACAUCGAUCAAUGCUCGAGAGUAAAUAAUCAAUUUUUUUCUGAUUAUUUGAUGUAAACAAAUUCUGAAAGUAGGACCUUGAUAUUUCUUCCAUUUCUUAAAGAUCUCUCGUUUCCCUUCCAUGUUCACUUUGUAACUUACUAAUCAUGUUUUUCUUCUGCCUCUGGGUUGCCUGACUAUGGAAAAAAGCUUAAUUUUUGUCGCCUAAUUUUAACCAGUUCAGUUGGGCCCUUUGCUCCUAGUAUCUUUCAUCCUUCUCAAUUUCCAAAUUUAGCUAAAUCUUCGUAUCAAUCAUCUCCGCCAUGUUAGUAUCAUCCCUUUCAGCUUCAAGCAACUCUGAUAACUUUGCUGUUAAAGAUUCAUUUCUCCAUUUUUUAUUAAUUUGCAUUUUUCCCGCCCAAUUUUCCAGACCCUUCUUUAAAAAUUCCAUCUUCUACAGAAAAUCACCUGAUGCUAUCUCCCAUAAAAUUUCCAGUUUCAUCAACAAAAGAAUCUUCCAAAAAUUAUCAGGUUUCAAUUUUGAAACAAUUUUCAUUUUACUGUCUUCCUUCCUUUUUUGUAUAAAUUAAAAGAGGACAAUGAUCAGAAAAAGAAUGCACUAGAUGCUGAACUUUUACCUCAGAAAAUAGAUAAAUCCAUUCCUCAUUGGCAACCCUCUAUCUAUACAUACUUGUAUAUUUGUUUCUAGGAGAUUACCUCUCCCACAUGAACCAUCUACCCAAGUACCCCACAUCAUUCAGUUGACAAAACUCUAAAGCUUUCCAAAACAUUCCCAUCCUUAUUUCAUCUUAGGGCAGGCCUCCCUUUUUUUCAAAGCCAUACAUAAUUUCAUUGAAAUCUCCACAUACCAACCAAGGGACAUUCUUUUCAUUAUAAAGAUUUUUCAAGACAGCCCAUGAAUCUUCUCUAUCUUGUGCAUACGAAGUUCCAUAAAAACCUAUAAAUCGCCAAUUACCUUCUCUUUCAUUAUCACUCACUACCACAUCAAUAUGCCUUUAAGAGAUUCUGUAGUGAAAUAUUAACGUCAUUCCACCAAGCCAAACAUAACCCUCCUCUAGUACCUUCCGGAUCCACCUCAAUACCAUUCACAAAACCACAUCUCCGUUGAACUCUUUCCAUUUGAAUUCCACAAAGUUUCGUCUCCAUAAAGAAGACUAUAUGGGGAUCACAAGUCUUCAGCGAAUGCCAAAGUCUUCUAACUAUCCGUGGACUCCGUAAUCCAAGGACAUUUCAGCUUAAUAUUUUCAUUGCACCCGGUCGACUUGCCACUUGGCAGCCACCGAUGAUAAAUGAUUAAGAUCUUCCAAACUCCUAUUUCUUGUUAGGGUAUUAUUCAUCUCCUCAAUCCUUUGUAAAUCAUUAAGCUCCCCUCUAGAUCUUUUCUUACCCUCCUCUCUUACUAGGGCCACAUCCUCCAAAACGUGAUCUAUCGCAUUUAGGGUGUGAUUAGUCAGUGAACUAUCCUGCUUUGUACCAACACUUGAUAAACUGCCUUCCAAAUUAAAACCAAGAUUUGGAUCAACAGGCUUCCCAUAACUUUUCCUGUACUCCAUCCUUCGUUGUUCAUUUGCAAAUCCCCUAUUUACCUCAUGAAUUCCACUCGUAACCCCCUCACUUUCCUCUCGUAACCAGACACUGUUCAUAGUCAAAGCUCUUUGGGAUUGUGCUCUUAUUGAUAAAUCCCACCCCAUUUUAGUAAUUUUCACUCCAAUUGUCAUUUUUGCCUCACAAAAAGAAUCAUUAUGGCCCAACUUUCCAUAAUAGAAACAGAAAAGUGUCAACCUUUCAUAUUUAAAACUAACAUAUGAACGCCUCCCACGGAACUCGAUUUGUUUCUUCCUUUUCAAGGGACGUCUGAUAUCAAUUUGGACCCUGAUUUGCAUAAAAUUCCUAUUUUCUUUCCCUAUAUUUGGCACAUUGUAUUCCAUAAAGUACCCCAAGAAAUUUUCUAAAUUCACUACUAAGUUUUCAGAAAACAAACCAAUAGGCACAUUAUGUAUUUGAACCCAGAAAAGGGUUAACACUAAAGGCACCUACAGCGGAUCCUCCCCCUAAUGUAGUUUAUAAGUAUCAGCAAAUGAUUAUUAAAGGUUCAUGAGGAGCCUUUCAAAACCCUCUUCAUAUCCAUAGAAUGAAAACAUUGAAACAGUAACCUUUUUUCCCUAGAUCUCGGAUUCGAACGCCCCGAACAGUAUGCCACAAAUUCGCCAUAGUGCUUUUUCAUGGCUGGAAAGUGAAUUAUGCUUGCUAUGAGAAAACACCCCACUAAUUGAAAAAACUCUACCCUUCUUCCCGUACUAGGAUCUUCUUGAAUUUGAAUAGCAACAUCUUCCCUUCAUUUAUCAUUAAUUGGGCUUAUUAGUUCUCCAUUAUUUUUCAAGGACACAACGCAGAAAACCUAAAUUCUUGCCAGAGGUAGUAGACACAAGCGCGCUAGGGUAGCAGAUUGUUAAAACCUUAGAUUGUUGAGUUGUUAGUCUCACGGCAUAAAUAACUUGUACAGACUAUUGAUUUGUUUUGUACCAAUACAAUUAUUUUUUUCUUAAAAACACAUUAAAUUAAAUAAAUAUUAGAAUAGUAUAAAUACUUGGAAUUAUUAUAUAAAAAUAUUCAUGUUUAAAAUAGUUUUUAAAAAUUAGCAUGUUUUAAAAUUAAAAUAUUUGGAAUUAUAUAAAAAUAUUUGAAAAUUUGAAGUUAAAAUUUUAUAUUACAAUAUUAAAAAAUGUUGAACUACGCACGUGCCAAUCCAUCCAUAACAUUAAAAUUUAAUUCAAAAUAAUAAUUUAACAAAUUGAUUAGAAAUAAAUUUUAACAAAAAUUUAAAAAUUUAGCUUUUGAAAUCUUAUAUUUAAAUUUAUUUCUCAUUUUAUUAAUAAAAUUUAUAAAAAAAAUUUGUAGUCACAUUUUAAAUUUAAUUAAGAAUCUACUUUCCCUAAUUAAUCAUUAAAAUCAAGUUGGAAACUAUAUAUAAAAUGAGAAUUUCAUAUAACUUAUAAUUAUAAAAUUUAUAUUUUAAAAAUAUUUUCAAUAUAUUGUUAGUCUAAUAUUAAGUAUCAUGUUUUUAAAAUUAAACUUAUAAAUUAUUAUGUUUUAAUUUCAUUAACAGAAAGUUAUAAAAUUUAUAAAAAAAAUUUAAGAAAUAAUUAAAUGUAAUUUAAUCGAUACAUACAAUCAACUCGUGGCACUCCCCAUUUGGAAAUAAAUAAAAUUUACAUGAUUUUUUAUGAAAAAUAGAAAUAAACAAGCAUGUUUGUGUUGCAAUUUCUUUUUGAGAUAAAAAGGUUUCCAUUUAUGCAUAAAACAAACAACAAAGCACCCAUUUGGCGAUGCCCAAGCGGAAUAGAGCAUAUACACGGGCCCAACAAAUGACCCAACGAGAAAGUUCCAAAAUAGAAAAACAAAAGCAAGAUAGUAACCCUACCAGACAGCAACCAAAGGAAGUCAAAAGCCUUCCGCUGUCCAAAUAGAUGAGGAAAAUUUGAGUGACAAUGGAGAUACACAUGAGAAACAGAGGAGAGGAAAGCAAUCAAGCGUUGUUGUGUUAGGAGAGACCAUGAACCAAGCGUCGAGCUACUCCACUAUAGCAACCAUGGCUAAUUCCACCUAGAAAGGUACUUCCUCUAUCCAAAACUGAUCUUCCCACCGAAAACCUAAUGCGGCCAGAAGAUGGGCACUAAAUUUUGUUCCCAAAAACAGUGGCGAACAACAGCUUCAGAGAAAUCUCUAAGUAAACGUCGUCUUCCCUCAUGAAUGAGUGCCCUGAUUUUGGAAUAAUCGUCCUGUGAGGAUGUUAAUCGCCGAAUAACAUGUAGGGAACCCUCAAAAAUAACCCGAGAGAGGUCGAGGUCACAGGAAAAGAUCGCUAUAGUGAGAAAAGUUAGCGUCUCUGCCGCAAAAGGAGAGGAUACAUAUUGAUGUCAACGAGUACAAGCCCCAAAAAACCAAUCCUUGGCAAUCCCGGAUCACCACUCCAGAGUAAGAGGAACUUGUUCUGCCUCGUAAUGUAGUUUAAGUUUUCUUUUAUCAUGGGGGUAGCUACUGGUCGCCAACGCGUAGAUCGAGAACCCUUGGGGACCAACACAUGAACAACAAGUAAUGGCAAAGAAGAGAAAUAUGAGCAGAUGAAAGAAGCUAGCUCUAGUGGAGUGGAUGUCUUCGUGAUAUAAGCAAAUUCCCACCGACUAAAGAGCCCAGAUUAUUGUAAAUGCAAUUUCCAUUUCACCUUCUAUAGAUAAUGUACACAAAUGCCCCAACCAAUUGACAAACCCAAAAUCAAUAUAAGUAUCCGACCAGGAGAUGUCCAAACAGCACCAUCCCAAAGCAACAAAAGGACAGUCUCAUGCAACAUGGACUAUAGUUUCAGGCACAGUAAGACACCGAGGGCAGAACUAGGUAAAAGAAAUUGUAAAAGAAAUACAUUUGUUGUAUAGGUUAGACAAAGUAGGAACAUAAUUCUUCAAAAAUAUUUCAUGUUGUAAUUUGCACCUUGGGAAUGUGUAACGCGUAGGUUUGUGCAAGUGUACACAAUCGUUAUCAAGUAAUAAGUAUCGAGUUAUCGUCUUCACAGGGAUUGUAUUUGUGCUAAGUCACUUAAUUUGUAAAAUUAUAUUAACAACUUGGUAAAUAAAAACACAAUAUAGUUUAGAAGUGGUGAUUAAAAUAUAUUAAACUAAAUGCAAUUAUCCAUAAUGCAAAUUUUCCUAAGUAUGCAAACUAUAUGAAUGAAAUAGAUUUUAGUAAAAUUAAAUACAAUUUGCAACAAUUAUAACAUAAAUAAACUAGGAUAAUUACUUUAAUUAAACUCAAUUUAUUAUCAAUAUGCUUAAUAACAUUCGAAAAAACAUUCCAUGGUAACUCGAUCUUUCAUAGUUUGGAAACCACAUUAGGUCCUUUCGAAAUUCUUUACUUAGUAAAUACGCAUUUUACUAAUCUUUAUUUACUAAGGGUUUCUUAGCAUUCGUGUGAGGUAACAGGGACGUGUCAGGUUUGAAACAAUUUAAUCACAAAUCUAAAAACUAUGCAGAUAACAGAGCUUGGUUGGAGUUGUUAUGCAACAUUUAAUUUAAUCGGGUCAGGAUCUAAAUUAAGCAUGCACAUUUCAAUUGUGUCCAUUAGCCAUCGUCCAGUCAGGAUCGCUCGACUAAUUUAGGUGCAUUUCAAUGUAGACUUGAUUUUAAUUGAAAAUAUGAUCGAUUGAGGCACAAACAUUAUAAGCAUGAAUCAAAUAAAUAUUAUUUAAUCAAAGCAAUCAUCCUAGCUUAAAUAAAAUUAAGCUAAUAUUGUUGUAAACAAGAACAAAAAACACGUAGCAAACAUCUUUAUAUUAAAUUAAAGAAAAAGAAGAUUAAACCCAAUUCAUAGUGGUUAUCACCUAAGACUCUGACUGACGAGGCUCUUUCGUUUCUUUGCUUUGCUCCUUUGCUUAUGGCUUUCUAAG